rnacentral:lncRNA from 1 species
ACCCCAAGAAUUGGGGUUUUAGCUAGACAUCAUAAAAAGGUAAAAAUCGUUACCAAAUUGUGUUUCCAUCAACUGGGUAAGAUUGAUAUUGUAUUUACAAAGGUCUAAGAUGAAGAAUCUUCAACACCCACUUCCAAUUUCUUAGAAAUGGAAAUUUUCAAAUCUUCAAAGCUAAGGAAAUAUUGUCUUCAAAAGCUCAGUUCUAAGCUCUAAACUUGAAAACUGAACAAUAAAAUGAUUGAUACAAAAUUGGAUUAAAAACUGCAUACUAAACUAAGCAUAUAAAAA